rnacentral:rRNA from 1 species
CUACGGGUUGCUGCAGUUAAGAAUAAUCUACAAUGCACGCAAGUGUGAUAGUUUGAGCCAGAGUGCUUCUCAACGAGAAGCUUUUGCCAAAUGUAAAAAGUUUGGCGAAUAAGGACUGGGUAAGACUAGUGCCAGCCGCCGCGGUAAUACUAGCGGUCCAAGUCGCAGCCAUUAUUAUUGGGUCUAAAACAUCCGUAGCUUGCUUCGUAAGUUUCUUGUGAAAUCCUACAUCUCAAGUGUGGGGCGUGCAAGAAAUACUGCGGAGCUAGAGACUGGAAGACGUAACGAGUACGUUCGGAGUAGCGGUAAAAUGUUUUAAUCCCGGACGGACUAACAACAGCGAAGGCACGUUACGAGGACAGUUCUGACAGUAAGGGAUGAAGGCUAGGGGCGCAAAACGGAUUAGAUACCCGCGUAGUC